GAUGAACGCUGGCGGCGUGCCUAAUACAUGCAAGUCGAGCGAACGGACGAGAAGCUUGCUUUUCUGAUGUUAGCGGCGGACGGGUGAGUAACACGUGGAUAACCUACCUAUAAGACUGGGAUAACUUCGGGAAACCGGAGCUAAUACCGGAUAAUAUUUUGAACCGCAUGGUUCAAAAGUGAAAGACGGUCUUGCUGUCACUUAUAGAUGGAUCCGCGCUGCAUUAGCUAGUUGGUAAGGUAACGGCCUACCAAGGCAACGAUGCAUAGCCGACCUGAGAGGGUGAUCGGCCACACUGGAACUGUGACACGGUCCAGACUCCUACGGGAGGCAACAGUAGUGAAUCUUCCGCAAUGGGCGAAAGCCUGACGGAGCAACGCCGCGUGAGUGAUGAAGAUCUUCGGAUCGUAAAACUCUGUUAUUAGGGAAGAACAUAUGUGUAAGUAACUGUGCACAUCUUGACGGUACCUAAUCAGACAGCCACGGCUAACUGCGUG
rnacentral:rRNA from 1 species